CAAUAGUUCAUUUCAGCGACAUGGAAAGGUACUCCCAGAUAUACCCACCAGCAUGGCCACUGAAUUUAUAUCCAUUCCUCUUUUUUGAAAACCAAAAACGAAAACGAAACCCAAG
rnacentral:lncRNA from 14 species